rnacentral:rRNA from 1 species
AUUGAACGCUGGCGGCAGGCCUAACACAUGCAAGUCGAGCGGAGCGGCGGACUGGUGAGUAAUGCCUAGGAAUCUGCCUGGUAGUGCGGGAUAACGUCCGGAAACGGGCGCUAAUACCGCAUACUAACAGAUGAGCCUAGGCCGGAUUAGCUAGGUGGGGGGGUAAUGGCCUACCAAGGCGACGAUCCGUAACUGGUCUGAGAGGAUGAUCAGUCACACUGGAACUGAGACACGGUCCAGACUCCUACGGGAGGCAGCAGUGGGGAAUAUGGGACAAUGGUCGAAAGCCUGAUCCAGCCAUGCCGCGUGUGUGAAGAAGGUCUUCGGAUUGUAAAGCACUUUAAGUUGGGAGGCGUGAACAACAGAAUAAACACAGGCUAACUUCGUGCCAGCAGCCGCGGUAAUAC